rnacentral:lncRNA from 1 species
AUUUAUAUGUUUCACGCCACGUCUUAAAAGCUAUAGAGGAAGUUUUUACUUGUUGAAGUUUCUGGUUUAUUUAAUUGAAUACUGAUUUAAAGCUCAAGUUUAUUAAAUACUAGUUUGGUUUGGAGUCAUGUUCCUUUACUCUAAGAAUCACGACUUUCAAAUUUAUCUUUUGCUUAUGUUUGACUGUAUGUGCUAUUUGAAAUAUGAGACAAAGUAUUCUAUAUAAAAUAUUCCGACUUCAUAUUUUUGUAAAUAUUUAAACGUCAUGCCAAUAGUCAUUAUGCUAAAUUUUACAUGUCGUGG